AUGUCAUGGGAAAGCCAGGUGUGCCUUCUUAUCACCAGCUUCAUGACCCGAAGGCAGCCCUGCCCACGGCUGAGGGUCUCAGGAUAUGGGAGUUGGGGGUGCAGUGCGUGAGCCUGUGGAGCUGCUUUGCAGAGAGGCUGGGGUGGAACUGAGCUGUUUGACACACCAGCAAACGACCAGCUAGGUGGAGGUCGGUGGAACAGGUGACAAGUGGGUGGUCAGCAGUGGCCUGCCUGCCCCGAGAGGCGAGGAGGUGAGGGGUGCUUCCUUCUCCCAAGAGAGCUCCUAGGAGCCCCUGCCUGCAGCACAGGAGAGGUGAGUGUGGGCUUCUAGGAAAGGCAAUGGCUGAUGUGGGGGCAUUGAAGGAAACAGAGACGCACCCCUCCAGCCUUGGGAGAGAAAGCAGACCUGCCUAGACCUUCCUUGGGUUUCCCUCUUGAGGCCUGGGGGCUGGAGGUGCUUGGUGUCAGGGGCAGGGUUGGGCACUUGGGGCUCCCACCCAGGUAGGCUGGGCCAUCAGCCCUGCCCUCCUCAGGCCUCUGGGCAGCUUGGCCACAGGGCUGCGCGGCCUCCCUCUGCUCCCUCUGCUCUGGAGAGGCAGCUCACUCCAUGGGUCAGGAGGGGACUGAGGCCUCGAUGCCCAUCUGACCCUGGAGCCCACGCUUCCCCUGCUGCUGCUGUGGCCCAGGACUCUUGAGGUCACGUCCAGUGCAGCGCCAGCUCCGACGGCUCAGUUCCAAGAGCCGCCGAGAGGCCUGCAGAUAAGGAAGCUGCUGGUGUUUACUCCAGAGACAACACUCAAGAGAAGAAAGCCCUGGUCACUGGGGUCCAAGACCACCUCGGGCUUUCCCAAGACGCCACGUGGCUGGUGGACAGUCCACCUUGGAGGUAAGGGGGGGUCCCUGGGGAGCCGGAAAAGGAGAGUGAGCUGGAAGCCUGUGAGUUAGCCCCUGGGCCAGUGGUGCUCUGCCACCCCCUGGUGGCCAUUCAAGGAGGGACUUCCACAGCCUCUGCCUCCACCUGCCGUCCAGGGCCCCACCAGAGCGCCCUGAGCAGCCUGUGCACACCUAAGCCCCUGGGCUCCACUGGACCAAGCCACGUCAGCAGGAGACUGCUCCAAGGCCAGCCAGGGGUUCCACAUCAGCGUCCUCAUCUCUUCGGGGGGAAACUGAGGUUCAGAGAAUCAGAACGUGUGUCUCCCCACAUGUGGGGUGACUGCUAAGGGCCCUUCUCCAGCCACAGAGCUCUCCUCCUCCACCCCACCCGGCUGGCGAGGCUUGGUGCCCACGCUUGGAGGUCAGAGGCGAGAGGUCAAAUGCCAGGCUUUGAGAGCUGGCAGGGACUCUCCGGGAGGGCUGUGCCAUCAGGGUGCAGGGACACUGGUCAACACAGUGCAUGUGUGCCUCACAGGGGUGGGCCACAGAAGCCCCCUCCCAUCCUGAUUCCCUUCUUCAGUUUCUUUUUCCUCUCAAGGGUGUUCAGAGAAAGCAGAGUGACCUGGGACCAUGGUGCUGAAUUCUCCACCCCCAGCUCCCAGCCUCUCCUUGAUUCUCAUGAGGGACGAGGAAUUGGCAGGUGCUGGGCAUCUCCCUGAAUAACAGGGGAUCAGUGCUUCCGAGUUUGUCCUGCAGCCACUGGGGCCUGAGUACAGGGCACAAUUAGUCCUGCAGGCUGGGAUGGGGAGCAGCCUCCUGCCUCCCCAGAGCCAGGCCCAGGCCCUGGCACUGUCUCUGCCCCACUCAGUGGGAGCAUCAGUUCAGCCUUCAGCUCACAGGCCCGCUGUGUGACCAGCCCAGGAAAUGACCAGAGACCUCCAGAGUCGCACUGGGGGUUACGGAUUCAGGUUUCUGGGGAGGAAUGGGCUGUUGGGGGAAGAGGGCAGUUCCCAGUCUAGCCUUGAGCAGUUCCCAGUCCAGCCUUGAGCUAGGCCGGUGCCCGUGAGCUGCGUCACCUCCUGACUGUGCAAAGAAGGCGUCGUCCUUCCCACCCUACAGACAAGAAAACCAUGUCUCAGGCAGGUGAAGACGUGUCCGGGGACCUCUGAGCGGGAGAAGAGCCACAGCGUGGGCCUAGGAAGGUUGGCCUUGACCUUCAUGCCGGUGAGAGUCCCUCACACCAAUGCCCCUGCAGCAGCCGCCCGAACCUGGGUCUUAGGUUUCAGCUCAUUUUCCUUCAGAGACAGGAGAAAGGCCAGGUCUUCCCACCAGCAUCCUGAGGAUGACAGUCACAGGCCUGCUCCUGGCCAGCUCCUGCAACAGCCCCGGGCCAGCCCCUCAGCCUGGGAUACCCCAAGUCAAAAGUCACAGCCACAUGCCCGGAAAAUCAGCUUCCACAGGACAGGGACGAGGUGACAGGAGGUGGCCCGUCCGCUGAACCCGCCUGCGGUGCUGAGGGAUUUACGACCGGCCUCAUAAACACUGCGCCCGCGCCAACCGGGCGGCUGUCUCCAGGCCUGUCCGGUGGGAAAAGGCCUUUGUGGACGCAGAGGCCGUAAACAGCCCCGGCUUCCUGCGGGGGAGGGAGCAGCCCGAAAAGCCACCCUGGUGGAAAACAGAGACCAGCCCGCUUCCGACCUGGGCCCUGGACAGCAAGUGGCCAAGUGUGAAGCAGGGAGCAUCCCUGGGGCCCUCCGGCGGCUCAGGUGAAGGGCUUCCACUGGGGGUGCAUCUCAGGGAGGCCUGGCCCCGCUAGACUGGCUUCCCGAUUCCGUCAGUUUCUGGCCCCUUUCUCUUGCUCCUUUUGAAAUUCUCUUCUAGAUUUGACUCCUUCUAACUUCUGCCCUCUAAGGUGUCUCCAGCUCAAGGGGCACAGGACCCCUUCCCAGACCGGGGACGUGGCACCACCUAGUGGCCAGGGAGAAGCUGCCAGUUCUGAUGCUGAGCAGGUCAAAGUUGUUCAAAGACCAGGUUUUGUUUUCUGUACUGGACCUUGAGCCCAGUACACAUGCUAGGCAAGAGCUCUGCCACCAAGCCACACCCAGCCCAAGGAGUGAGUUUAAACACAAAUGGAAAGCACAACACAGAGCUGCAGAGACG